GAUGAACGCUGGCGGCGUGCCUAAUACAUGCAAGUCGAGCGAACAGACGAGGAGCUUGCUCCUUUGAUGUUAGCGGCGGACGGGUGAGUAACACGUAGGUAACCUACCUAUAAGACUGGGAUAACUUCGGGAAACCGGAGCUAAUACCGGAUAAUAUUUCGAACCGCAUGGUUCGAUAGUGAAAGAUGGCUUUGCUAUCACUUAUAGAUGGACCUGCGCCGUAUUAGCUAGUUGGUAAGGUAACGGCUUACCAAGGCAACGAUACGUAGCCGACCUGAGAGGGUGAUCGGCCACACUGGAACUGAGACACGGUCCAGACUCCUACGGGAGGCAGCAGUAGGGAAUCUUGCGCAAUGGGCGAAAGCCUGACGGAGCAACGCCGCGUGAGUGAUGAAGGUCUUCGGAUCGUAAAACUCUGUUAUUAGGGAAGAACAAACGUGUAAGUAACUGUGCACGUCUUGACGGUACCUAAUCAGAAAGCCACGGCUAACUACGUG
rnacentral:rRNA from 1 species